rnacentral:rRNA from 1 species
UACGUAGGGGGCAAGCGUUGUCCGGAAUCAUUGGGCGUAAAGAGCGUGUAGGCGGCCAGAUAAGUCCGCUGUGAAAUCUCGAGGCUCAACUUCGAGCUGUCGGUGGAAACUGUCUGGCCAGAGUCCGGAAGAGGAGAAUGGAAUUCCUGGUGUAGCGGUGAAAUGCGCAGAUAUCAGGAAGAACACCCGCGGCGAAGGCGGUUCUCUGGGACGGUAUUGACGCUGAGACGCGAAAGCGUGGGGAGCGAACAGG